AUGUUCAUUUUAUGGACUUCAAAAAGUCCGUAAAACUUUGGGUGGAGGGGGCAAUUCUCCACACACUUCUCCCCUCAGAUGUUUUGAGGCCGAUUGAUGUCCCAUCUGUGGAGAUGAGAGGGUCUCGUGUAUACUAUCGAUUUACCAAAGAGACAGAGAAGACCUUUAGAGGAAAUGAAAUGAAUGAAUGAAAUUAUACUUUAAAUCACCUCAUCAUUAAAUAUCUUUGACACCA